rnacentral:rRNA from 1 species
GACGAACGCUGGCGGCGUGCUUAACACAUGCAAGUCGAACGGAAGGGCCCUGCUUUUGUGGGGUUCUCGUGUGGCGAACGGGUGAGUAACACGUGAGUAACCUGCCCUUGACUUUGGGGUAACUUCAGGAAAAUGGGGCUAAUACCGGGUAGGAGCUCCUGCUGCAUGGUGUGCGUUGGAAAGUUUCGGCGGUUGGGGCUGGACUGGAGGCUUAUCAGCUUGUUGGUGGGGUAGUGGCUUACCAAGGCUGUGACGGGUAGCCGGCCUGAGAGCGUGACCGGGCACAUGGGGACUGAGAGACGGCCCAGUCGGCUACGGGAGGCAGCAGGGGGGAAUAUUGCACAGUGGGCGGAAGCCUGAUACAGAGACGCCGCGUUCGUAAUGACGGCUUUCGGGGUGUGAACCGCUGUCGCCUGUGACGAACCGUGCGUGACGGUAAUGGGUAAAGAAGCACCGGCUAACUACGUG